ACCAGUGGCGAUAUCACGUGAAUGCACUAGUUCCCCACGGAUCACUGAAGUUAAACACUGUUGCGCGUGCUUAGUACCAGAAUGGUGACCAUUUGAGGAAUCGCGUACUGCUGGGU
rfam:Asian citrus Psyllid, Diaphorina citri - Florida Strain, whole genome shotgun sequence.